rnacentral:rRNA from 1 species
GAUCAUUACCGAGUGCGGGUCCUUUGGGCCCAACCUCCCAUCCGUGUCUAUUGUACCCUGUUGCUUCGGCGGGCCCGCCGCUUGUCGGCCGCCGGGGGGGCGCCUCUGCCCCCCGGGCCCGUGCCCGCCGGAGACCCCAACACGAACACUGUCUGAAAGCGUGCAGUCUGAGUUGAUUGAAUGCAAUCAGUUAAAACUUUCAACAAUGGAUCUCUUGGUUCCGGCAUCGAUGAAGAACGCAGCGAAAUGCGAUAACUAAUGUGAAUUGCAGAAUUCAGUGAAUCAUCGAGUCUUUGAACGCACAUUGCGCCCCCUGGUAUUCCGGGGGGCAUGCCUGUCCGAGCGUCAUUGCUGCCCUCAAGCCCGGCUUGUGUGUUGGGUCGCCGUCCCCCUCUCCGGGGGGACGGGCCCGAAAGGCAGCGGCGGCACCGCGUCCGAUCCUCGAGCGUAUGGGGCUUUGUCACAUGCUCUGUAGGAUUGGCCGGCGCCUGCCGACGUUUUCCAACCAUUCUUUCCAGGUUGACCUCGGAUCAGGUAGGGAUACCCGCUGAACUUAAGCAUAUCAAUAAGCGGAGGAAAAGAAACCAACCGGGAUUGCCUCAGUAACGGCGAGUGAAGCGGCAAGAGCUCAAAUUUGAAAGCUGGCUCCUUCGGAGUCCGCAUUGUAAUUUGCAGAGGAUGCUUUGGGUGCGGCCCCCGUCUAAGUGCCCUGGAACGGGCCGUCAGAGAGGGUGAGAAUCCCGUCUUGGGCGGGGUGUCCGUGCCCGUGUAAAGCUCCUUCGACGAGUCGAGUUGUUUGGGAAUGCAGCUCUAAAUGGGUGGUAAAUUUCAUCUAAAGCUAAAUACUGGCCGGAGACCGAUAGCGCACAAGUAGAGUGAUCGAAAGAUGAAAAGCACUUUGAAAAGAGAGUUAAACAGCACGUGAAAUUGUUGAAAGGGAAGCGCUUGCGACCAGACUCGCCCGCGGGGUUCAGCCGGCAUUCGUGCCGGUGUACUUCCCCGUGGGCGGGCCAGCGUCGGUUUGGGCGGCCGGUCAAAGGCCCCUGGAAUGUAGUGCCCUCCGGGGCACCUUAUAGCCAGGGGUGCAAUGCGGCCAGCCUGGACCGAGGAACGCG